rnacentral:rRNA from 1 species
UACAGAGGGGGCAAGCGUUGUUCGGAAUUACUGGGCGUAAAGGGCGCGUAGGCGGCCUUCUAAGUCGAACGUGAAAUCCCUGGGCUUAACCCAGGAACUGCGUCCGAUACUGGAAGGCUUGGAUCCGGGAGAGGGAUGCGGAAUUCCAGGUGUAGCGGUGAAAUGCGUAGAUAUCUGGAGGAACACCGGUGGCGAAGGCGGCAUCCUGGACCGGCAUUGACGCUGAGGCGCGAAAGCCAGGGGAGCAAACGGG